AAAUGCCUGCUUGGCACGCGGACUGCACUUUUUUAACCCUACAAAUAUAUAAUUCGGGAGCUGGACCUAAACUCCUGCGGUGGAUUGCAGACCUCCCUGCCCGCAUUUGCGGCAACAGGAGGAAGGGAGCGUGAAUCCGCAGGGCUGGCACCCACCUGCUUUUUAGUAGCAGGUUAUGCAAAGUGCGAUACGUCCAGGUGGGCAGCCC
rnacentral:other from 1 species